GAAAUGCGAUAAGUAGUGUGAAUUGCAGAAUUCAGUGAAUCAUCGAAUCUUUGAACGCACAUUGCGCCCCUUGGUAUUCCAUGGGGCAUGCCUGUUCGAGCGUCAUUUGUACCCUCAAGCUCUGCUUGGUGUUGGGUGUUUGUCCCGUCUCUGCGUGUAGACUCGCCUCAAAACAAUUGGCAGCCGGCGUAUUGAUUUCGGAGCGCAGUACAUCUCGCGCUUUGCACUCAUAACGACGACGUCCAAAAGUACAUUUUUACACUCUUGACCUCGGAUCAGGUAGGGAUACCCGCUGAACUUAAGC
rnacentral:misc_RNA from 1 species